AGUCAUAAAAAGCUAUAUUUUCCCAAUAAUUUAGUUUCUGUGCUACGUUUUGUAGGACCAAAUAUUGUUAAUCGAAAGUUUAAAAAAAAAUUCUCGUAUGGUGUUAAAUUGAAAAAAUAUGUGCCAUCGUCAUUAAAGAUUUUCAUAUUGAUAAGGAUGAUAUCAAUAGCAUAAUUCCUGAAUCAAUUCAUUUUCCGAAAGGAUUAUCGCAUUUUUUUAUCGUUGGAAAAUGAAAAUAUUCAAUAUUUAAAUAACACUUAAUCAUUGGCCAAUAUGGUUUUGUUCAACGAUUAUUACGAGCCAUAUGCUGAUAUUUGUUGAGAUAUUAUAUAAAUAAAUACCGAUUUUCAUAUAGAUAAGGAUGAUAUCAAUAGCAUAAUUCCUGUUUCAAUUCAUUUUCCGAAAGGAUUAUCGCAUUUUUUUAUCGUUGAAAAAUGGAAAUAUUGAAUAUUUAAAUAACACUUAAUCAUUGGCCAAUAUGGUUUUGUUCAACGAUUAUUACGAGCCAUAUGCUGAUAUUUGUUGAGAUAUUAUAUAAAUUAAUAUCGGUUUUUUACCGAGUUAUUAUUUAUACAAAAUAUGUAUUUAAUAAUGAUUUUUGUCGUUCAGUUCUCGCCCAUUGUACACCACACUCGUGUUUUCCAUAUACGGCGGAAGACAUAAUUUAUGAAAAAUGUCAAGAUUUUUUAUUUCAAUGGAGCCUAAAAUUGAUAGAUUGUACUCGAUUCUAUUUUACCGGAUAGUUGUACUUGAAUUUUGCACCAUAUUAAAAUAUUUUAUUUGAAUGCUCUAAACAAAUAAACAUAUGACGUUUAAUUUUCUUUUAAUAUAAAUUUAAAAAAAAAAGGAAAUUAAUGUCACGAGAGAGUUAUAUAUUCCCAAUAAUAUGGUUUCUGUGCUACGUUUUGUAGGACCAUUUAUUGUCAAUCGAAAGUCUGA